UUGAUCAUGGCUCAGGAUGAACGCUGGCGGCGUGCUUAACACAUGCAAGUCGAACGAACCUUCGGGUUAGUGGCGGACGGGUGAGUAACGCGUGGGAAUCUGCCCUCAGGAGGGGGAUAACGGCUGGAAACGGCCGCUAAUACCCCAUAUGCCGAGAGGUGAAAUGAAUUUCGCCUGAGGAUGAGCCCGCGUCUGAUUAGCUAGUUGGUGAGGUAAGAGCUCACCAAGGCAUCGAUCAGUAGCUGGUCUGAGAGGAUGAUCAGCCACACUGGGACUGAGACACGGCCCAGACUCCUACGGGAGGCAGCAGUGGGGAAUUUUCCGCAAUGGGCGAAAGCCUGACGGAGCAACGCCGCGUGAGGGAUGAAGGCCUCUGGGCUGUAAACCUCUUUUCUCAAGGAAGAAGAUCUGACGGUACUUGAGGAAUAAGCCACGGCUAAUUCCGUGCCAGCAGCCGCGGUAAUACGGGAGUGGCAAGCGUUAUCCGGAAUUAUUGGGCGUAAAGCGUCCGCAGGCGGCCCUUCAAGUCUGCUGUUAAAAAGUGGAGCUUAACUCCAUCAUGGCAGUGGAAACUGUUGGGCUUGAGUGUGGUAGGGGCAGAGGGAAUUCCCGGUGUAGCGGUGAAAUGCGUAGAUAUCGGGAAGAACACCAGUGGCGAAGGCGCUCUGCUGGGCCAUAACUGACGCUCAUGGACGAAAGCCAGGGGAGCGAAAGGGAUUAGAUACCCCUGUAGUCCUGGCCGUAAACGAUGAACACUAGGUGUCGGGGGAAUCGACCCCCUCGGUGUCGUAGCCAACGCGUUAAGUGUUCCGCCUGGGGAGUACGCACGCAAGUGUGAAACUCAAAGGAAUUGACGGGGGCCCGCACAAGCGGUGGAGUAUGUGGUUUAAUUCGAUGCAACGCGAAGAACCUUACCAGGGUUUGACAUCCUGCGAACCUCUUGGAAACGAGAGGGUGCCUUCGGGAACGCAGUGACAGGUGGUGCAUGGCUGUCGUCAGCUCGUGUCGUGAGAUGUUGGGUUAAGUCCCGCAACGAGCGCAACCCACGUCUUUAGUUGCCAGCAUUUAGUUGGGCACUCUAGAGAGACCGCCGGUGAUAAACCGGAGGAAGGUGUGGAUGACGUCAAGUCAUCAUGCCCCUUACAUCCUGGGCUACACACGUACUACAAUGCUACGGACAAAGAGCAGCAAGUUCGCGAGGACAAGCAAAUCUCAUAAACCGUGGCUCAGUUCAGAUCGUAGGCUGCAACUCGCCUACGUGAAGGAGGAAUCGCUAGUAAUCGCAGGUCAGCAUACUGCGGUGAAUACGU
rnacentral:rRNA from 1 species